AUGAUAGUAUUCCAUCUCACCUUCAAUUUGCAGAUUGUAAAUUGGAGAACAACUUUAAAUUUUCCAGAAGAAACUAAACUAUCACCAGAUGCAAAGGAUCUUAUUUACAGAUUCCUAUGUAAUGUGGAGCAGUGGCUGGGAGUCAAAGGAGCUGAUGAAAUAAAGGCUCACGCAUGGUUCAAAGGCGUUGAAUGA